rnacentral:rRNA from 1 species
UCGAUUAGAGUUUGAUUAUGGCUCANNUUGAACGCUGGCGGCAUGCCUUACACAUGCAAGUCGAGCGGCAGCGCGGGGGCAACCCUGGCGGCGAGCGGCGAACGGGUGAGUAAUACAUCGGAACGUGUCCUGUAGCGGGGGAUAACCUGUCGAAAGAUAGGCUAAUACCGCAUACGACCUACGGGUGAAAGCGGGGGACCGCAAGGCCUCGCACUAUAGGAGCGGCCGAUGUCGGAUUAGCUAGUUGGCGGGGUAAAAGCCCACCAAGGCAACGAUCCGUAGCUGGUCUGAGAGGACGAUCAGCCACACUGGAACUGAGACACGGUCCAGACUCCUACGGGAGGCAGCAGUGGGGAAUUUUGGACAAUGGGGGCAACCCUGAUCCAGCCAUGCCGCGUGAGUGAAGAAGGCCUUCGGGUUGUAAAGCUCUUUCGGCGGGGACGAAACGGUCCGUGACAACACCACGGACUGAUGACAGUACUCGCAGAAGAAGCACCGGCUAACUACGUGCCAGCAGCCGCGGUAAUACGUAGGGUGCAAGCGUUAAUCGGAAUUACUGGGCGUAAAGCGUGCGCAGGCGGUCUUGCAAGACAGAUGUGAAAUCCCCGGGCUCAACCUGGGAACUGCAUUUGUGACUGCAAGGCUAGAGUGCGGCAGAGGGGGAUGGAAUUCCGCGUGUAGCAGUGAAAUGCGUAGAUAUGCGGAGGAACACCGAUGGCGAAGG